rnacentral:rRNA from 11 species
UAAACGACUCUCGGCAACGGAUAUCUCGGCUCUCGCAUCGAUGAAGAACGUAGCGAAAUGCGAUACUUGGUGUGAAUUGCAGAAUCCCGCGAACCAUCGAGUCUUUGAACGCAAGUUGCGCCCGAAGCCAUUAGGUUGAGGGCACGCCUGCCUGGGCGUCUCAC